GACGACGCGUGGCGGCGUGCCUAACACAUGCAAGUCGAGCGGGGUUGAAGCGAGGGGUAACUCGAGUUUCUACCUAGCGGCGGACGGGUGAGUAACGCGUGGGCAACCUGCCUCAAGGACUGGGAUAACAGCUCGAAAGGGCUGCUAAUACCGGAUAAGCCUAUGGCCUCGCAUGGGGCCAUGAGCAAAGGGGAAACCCGCCUUGAGAUGGGCCCGCGUCCCAUCAGCUAGUUGGUGAGGUGAAGGCUCACCAAGGCGACGACGGGUAGCCGGCCUGAGAGGGUGACCGGCCACACUGGGACUGAGACACGGCCCAGACUCCUACGGGGGGCAGCAGUGGGGAAUCUUGCACAAUGGGCGGAAAGCCUGAUGCAGCGACGCCGCGUGAGCGAAGAAGGCCUUCGGGUUGUAAAGCUCUGUCUGGAGGGACGAAGGAAGUGACGGUACCUCCGGAGGAAGCCACGGCUAACUACGUG
rnacentral:rRNA from 1 species